rnacentral:lncRNA from 1 species
GACGAGUCUACGCGAAGAUAUUGAAGAAAAAGCUUGUUUCGGUACAGAUUGCCGCAGCUCGCGGCGAAAGCUUCCAAAUAUCACGAAAUCGGAACCCUAGCCUCUUGGUAGCAUUAAAAGGUGGGGGGUGUCCAUCCCGAAGCAACUGGGCUUCCUUCUAUGUCCGAGUUAGAUUUUUGGUCAUAUUGCACAUAUUGUUCUUAUGCAUUAUAGGAUGUAUGUAUAGGUGCAUUUCUAUUUCCUUGCAUGCAUGUCUAGUUGUGUAGCAUUAUGGACUUGACACUUAAAUCUAGAAUGCAUGAGGAUUAGGGUUUGUGACAUGAGAUCCUAUAGUGAUAAGAAAACAGUGAACUCGGACUUGAUGAUGAAAACUAGUGACAUGCGAACUAGUGUAUAGAAAACAAUUAUAACUUGGACGAGUGGCAUGUAAACAAUGAUAACAACAUGACGAGUGGUAUUGGAACUUAGUGUAAUAGAAACACUUGUGGCAUUGAGCAUAGUGAAUAGGUAAGUUUCCCUAGUCAUGGCAUAUUGCAUGAGAAUUAGUGUAAUUGAGACACUAUGGCAUCAAACAUAGGGAUAGUUCAAUUCCCUAGUGUGAGUUGAUUAGUGUGGUUGAGACACUUGACAUGGACCUAGGGAUAGGUGGAUUUUCGAGUGUUGUUAACCUAGUUGACAGGGUAUCCUCAGUUGGCGAAGAUUGGAUCAUAUCACAAGUCUGUUUUGAGCUUGUGGUGGUCGCUCCACACAAGUAGUGCACUCCGGAGUUAUCACAUGAGCUGGGUAGCUCACGAGCUGGGUAGCUCACUGGGUGGGAUACGAGCGGGCUAGCUCCUCACCUAUUGCUGGAGUUGUCACACGAGCUGGGUAGCUCACGAGCGGGGUAGCUCACCUGGUGGGAUACGAGCGGGGUAGCUCCUCACCCAUUGGACUAGAAAGUGAGUUGGGGCGAAUGGCGGGGUAGCCCUUCCCCUAUGAGGAUUGAGCGGGGUAGCUUAUUACUUAUGAGAAUUGAGCGGGGUAGCUCAUUACCUAUGAGAUUAGAGCGGGGUAGCUCUUCACCUAUGGCUUGAGAUGUGAGACGGGUGAGAUAAGAGCGGGGUAGCUCCUCACCUGUGAGAUUUGAGAUAUCGGUCGUGGCGAAGAGCGGGAUAGUUCUUCACCUCUUCACCUACUAGAUUGUGGUGUGAGUACCUAUGAGAUUUGAGAUCUUAGGCGGGGUAGCGUAGUGGAUUGGGUAAUGACAUGAAUAGCAUAAGUGGAUUUGCAUUCAUCCCCUGAUUAAACAUAGUAUAUGUUAGUGGAUUGCAUAACUAUGUUGUAUUUGUAUUCAUUACAUUGUUGAAGCAUAUUAUCAUGAUAGUAGGCUUAUUGCUAGACGAUAUUUCAUGCAUUGCUUGCAUUUGAUGGCACAAUAGAUCAUAGUUGCAGUUCAAUAUCUAUCUAUUUCUCUAUCUAUCUAUUUGUGCCAGCUUAGACCUAGUGGGAAGAUCGGCGGAGUCGGCGGCCGAACCCACUGGGAACUAUAUUUAUAUAGUUCUCACCCCAUGUGGUUUUGGGGUACAGGUACACGCGAGAGCGGACCGGCAGGUGAUCGCGAUAAGGGCGUAUCGCCCUAGCUAGCUAGUUGAGCUUUCCUAUUGUACUAGAGCACCUUCGUGUGCAUGGUUAUAGAUGACAUGAUGUACUUUGGAUAGCUAGCAUUAUUUAUGUUUGUGAGAGGAUCAUGUAUUCAUUUUUGGGAGAUGGAAAUGUAAAUCAAAUCAAUGUUGAAUGUGAUGUAAUAGCUAGA